rnacentral:tRNA from 1 species
CGCCGUCCGGGCCGCGGUGGCCGGGCAGGGCGUCCAAGGCGUGCCGGACGAUGCGGGUGAUGUCGGCGCUCAACUGUUCCACGCGUUUGGCGGUGA